AAGUCGUAACAAGGUCUCCGUAGGUGAACCUGCGGAGGGAUCAUUACUGAGUGAGGGCCCCUGGCCCGACCUCCAACCCUUUGAUUGAAACACCAUGUUGCCUCGGGGGCGACCCGGACCCUUUGCCGGUCGUGGGGCCCCCGGUGGACCGUUCAACUCUGCGUCUUUGCGUCGGAUACACAACAGAAAUUGUUAAAACUUUCAACAACGGAUCUCUUGGUUCUGGCAUCGAUGAAGAACGCAGCGAAAUGCGAUAAGUAAUGUGAAUUGCAGAAUUCAGUGAAUCAUCGAGUUUUUGAACGCACACUGCGCCCCUUGGUAUUCCGGGGGGCAUGCCCGUUCGAGCGUCAUUGCACCAAUCAAGCUCGGCUUGGUAUUGGGUCCCGGGGGUGACCCGGACCUCAAAAGCGCCGGCUGACAAGCUCCGAUCGCAGCGUCGUGAAACAAAUUCGCUGACGAGACGGGCGGGUCACGCCGUCAAAUCUUUCUCAGGUUGACCUCGGAUCGGGUAGGAAUACCCGCUGAACUUAA
rnacentral:rRNA from 1 species